rnacentral:tRNA from 1 species
GGCUCUGCGUGGUAAGGAUUCUCGCUUAGGGUGCGAGAGGUCCCGAGUUCAAUUCUCGGCACA